rnacentral:rRNA from 1 species
GGGGAAUUUUCCGCAAUGGGCGAAAGCCUGACGGAGCAAUACCGCGUGAGGGAGGAAGGCCUUUGGGUUGUAAACCUCUUUUCUUAAGGAAGAAGCUCUGACGGUACUUAAGGAAUCAGCAUCGGCUAACUCCGUGCCAGCAGCCGCGGUAAUACGGAGGAUGCAAGCGUUAUCCGGAAUUAUUGGGCGUAAAGAGUCCGUAGGUGGUCAAAUAAGUCUGCUGUCAAAGACCGGGGCUUAACUCCGGAAAGGCAGUGGAAACUGUGUGACUAGAGACCGGGAGGGGUAGAGGGAAUUCCCAGUGUAGCGGUGAAAUGCGUAGAGAUUGGGAAGAACACCGGUGGCGAAGGCGCUCUACUGGACCGGAACUGACACUGAUGGACGAAAGCUAGGGGAGCGAAAGGGAUUAGAUACCCCUGUAGUC